UGUGAGUCACGGUAAGUGGCGAUGUUGAUGAGUUCAGAGGGCGAGGAAGGUGUUUAAAUCCGAAUGUUGAUACAGAAGAUGCCCACAUUCGCCCAGGAGAAAGGGUGAGACUGUCCCUUGGUUGAGAAAGAUAGUUCCAAAAUCGAGAGGCUGUGAAGUAUUUUGUGUUUGCCCCCAGAGUCACAGGUACCCGGGUUCCUAUUUCUACUAAAUUAGCCUGAGAGAUAAGCUUCAAAGGACCAAGCUUUCUGCCAGCAGGGUCUCACCAUGUGGAAUGCUCAGAGGGGUUGCAUGUGUCUACCCAGACCACCUGGCUUGAAAGGGAAUGAAAGCUACCACCAGUAUGUUGAUGGGACCUGAAAGCCAAGGCUGGUCAGUGACUGGAUGCUACGCUCAAGUUUGAGUCUCCAGAGCGAGGGCAGUGGUGGGAGAAGCACACCAUGUUCCAAAGUGUUAUACACAUGAACACACCUGGAGAAGUACAUGGCCCUUCUCAGGUCAGAGAAUAGGUAACAACUAAAGCUCACCUUCAUAGGAUCACAUGGAUUCCUAACCAAGAUAUCUUCAACACCUGUCUGAGCCACAUUCACAGCCAUGGCCACUUCUAAUUCCGCCGUCCAGAGUUCACCCAGAUCCUAAGCCUUCCAAACCUGACAGCCUACUUUGAAGAAGCGCAGGAGGAAGGGUCAGUCCCUCUUUUCUUACCACCUGAUGUCUCUCUGUGCAACAUGUUUGGUACCCUGUUCCAGCAUCUCAACUGAAAUGGCACCGGGGGGUGGAGGAGGUGUGGGAGGUGGAAAUGCUACAGAAAGCAGAACCAAGAACAAAGAGGAAAACAUAGUAAAUUCUACAAUACAAACCUUGAGACAAAUAAUUGCUGGAUCUAUCCUGUGAUGUGUAAAAUGUAGUUUUCCCUAGCUCCUUCUGUUUUAAACUCACUGUGUCCCUGAUGGAUGACUCUGAGCUCCUUCUGCCUCCUAAGACCCAGGUGUAUGCCAGCAGCUUCAUGCAUACGAGACAAACAUUCUAGCAACUGUUGUGUGAAAUUGUGUUUCAACAAAUGUUCAUAUGCUGAGGCAAAAAUUACAUGUACACAUACACCCGUUUAAAAGCUAGUUUAAGAGGGGUUCUGUGUAGUAUGCAUAGCUUAGAGCAAGGAAUACUGGGAAGUUUACAUACAUGUGCUUUAGUUACCUGGAUAAAGAUUCUCUUCCAGAAGCCUGAUGGAACAAAACGCAUUUCAAAAACUCACAUAAAACCAGGCAGUGGCUUACAUGCGCUGCAUGCCACUGUAUCUUCACCAUUUUAGAAAAGGUCCCUUCCCUGUUGACGGGCCCCACCAUAGGCAUAAACACUGACCUCUCUUCCCAGCCAGAGCUAAUGGUGUCCCUUGAUCUCACAAAUAAUGUAACUUUUUCCCUUGUGAGAUCUUUGUCUUCAUAGAAAUUAAAACUAGGACUUCAGCAUCAUUGGAAUUCUGAUUUAAGCAACAGAACUACCUGGGUUUUGAUGUGUUCAUUAAGGAAAGAAAUG